GGUCUAGUAGCUCAGUGGCUGAGAGCACCAGCAUAUAUUAGCCAGGAGCCCUUGAUUCAAUCCCAAGCUGGGUCA